AAUCAACGCUGGCGGCGUGCCUCAGACAUGCAAGUCGAACGAUUAAAGCUCUCUUCGGAGAGUGCAUAGAGUGGCGCACGGGUGAGUAACACGUAAGUAAUCUACCCUCGAGUGGGGAAUAACGUCCGGAAACGGACGCUAAUACCGCAUAAUGCAGCGGCACCGCAAGGUGACAGUUGUUAAAUAUUUAUCGCUUGAGGAGGAGCUUGCGGCAAAUUAGCUAGUUGGUAAGGCAACGGCUUACCAAGGCUACGAUCUGUAGCCGGCCUGAGAGGGCGGUCGGCCACACUGACACUGAAUAACGGGUCACACUCCUACGGGAGGCAGCAGUCGGGAUUUUUGGGCAAUGGGCGAAAGCCUGACCCAGCAACGCCGCGUGAAGGAUGAAUUAUUUCGGUAUGUAAACUUCAAAAGAAUAGGAAGAAUUAAUGACGGUACUAUUUAUAAGGUCCGGCUAACUACGUGCCAGCAGCCGCGGUAAUACGUAGGGACCAAGCGUUGUUCGUAUUUACUGGGCGUAAAGGGCGCGUAGGCGGCAAUUCAAGUCAGCUGUGAAAUCUCUGGUCUUAACCCG
rnacentral:rRNA from 1 species